rnacentral:rRNA from 1 species
AUGGCCGCGUCGGCGCUGCACCAGACGACCAGCUUCCUCGGCACCGCCCCGCGGCGCGAUGACCUCGUCCGCAGCGUCGGCGACUUUGGCGGCCGCAUCACCAUGCGCCGGACCGUCAAGAGCGCGCCCCAGAGCAUCUGGUACGGCCCUGACCGUCCCAAGUACCUGGGCCCGUUCUCCGAGCAGACCCCGUCGUACCUGACCGGCGAGUUCCCCGGCGACUACGGGUGGGACACCGCCGGAUUGUCUGCUGACCCCGAGACGUUCGCCAAGAACAGGGAGCUGGAGGUGAUCCACUCGCGGUGGGCGAUGCUCGGCGCCCUCGGGUGCGUGUUCCCGGAGAUCCUGUCCAAGAACGGCAUCAAGUUCGGCGAGGCCGUGUGGUUCAAGGCCGGCGCCCAGAUCUUCUCCGAGGGCGGCCUCGACUACCUGGGCAACCCCAACCUGGUGCACGCGCAGAGCAUCCUCGCCAUCUGGGCGGUGCAGGUGGUGCUCAUGGGCUUCAUCGAGGGCUACCGUGUUGGUGGCGGGCCCCUCGGCGAGGGCCUCGAUAUCAUCUACCCAGGCGGCGCCUUCGACCCACUUGGCCUCGCCGACGACCCUGACACCGCCGCCGAGCUCAAGGUGAAGGAGCUCAAGAACGGCCGCCUCGCCAUGUUCUCCAUGUUCGGCUUCUUCGUGCAGGCCAUCGUCACCGGGAAGGGGCCAGUUGAGAACCUCUUCGACCACGUCGCCGACCCGGUCAACAACAACGCCUGGGCCUUCGCCACCAACUUCGCCCCCGGAAGCUAA